rnacentral:rRNA from 1 species
GAGUUUGAUCCUGGCUCAGAUUGAACGCUGGCGGCAUGCCUUACACAUGCAAGUCGAACGGUAACGCGGGGCAACCUGGCGACGAGUGGCGAACGGGUGAGUAAUAUAUCGGAACGUGCCCAGUAGUGGGGGAUAGCCCGGCGAAAGCCGGAUUAAUACCGCAUACGACCUACGGGUGAAAGCGGGGGAUCGCAAGACCUCGCGCUAUUGGAGCGGCCGAUAUCAGAUUAGGUAGUUGGUGGGGUAAGGGCCUACCAAGCCGACGAUCUGUAGCUGGUCUGAGAGGACGACCAGCCACACUGGGACUGAGACACGGCCCAGACUCCUACGGGAGGCAGCAGUGGGGAAUUUUGGACAAUGGGCGCAAGCCUGAUCCAGCCAUGCCGCGUGCGGGAAGAAGGCC